rnacentral:misc_RNA from 1 species
CUUGUGAUAUGUUAGGCUUCUAACUGAGCUCUUCUGUGAAUGUUUUUAAAAUGUUGAUGGAAUACUCUAUUCAUUUAGUGCGAUUUAGUCCUAAAUUUAAGCAUCAUAUAAUGUUUGAGUUAUGUCAAAAUUCAAUUGUACUUGAAGUUGGAAAAACAUUAAUUUCCUUGCAACAGCACAUGUACAUCCCCAGCUAGAAGAGAGAGGUAAAAUUGGCUUGGGAUAGUGAUGUGGAAUGUAUUAGUGAUAAUUUUAUUGGAAAAU